AAUUAUGUCGUAUAACACCUGAGACAUUUUAGUAAAAAGAUCGGACACAAAAAGGGACGUCUCAAACCCAGCUAACUGGUUUAUUUCUCGACCAUCCUAUAUCAUGAUAGCUUCACGAAUGACUUGCCCACUGGCGCCACACUGGCCUCGCUGUUUUCAACGGUUCUCAGGUUGCCGGGGCGGCUUGUUUGAACUGUUUGAACCACAGGUUUGAACUGUUUCAACGGGAGUCAUGGCAGAUCCACUUGGAGGCUUAUUUAAACCAAAGUCCCGCUGGCGGGAAAAGAUAACGGACGGAGCAGCACUGCGUGGCCUCGCAAUCCCAGCGACCCGACGAGCUCGCAGUGGUGCUCGGAAGACGACCCUCCCAAAGCCGACGACGCGCACUCGCGCGUACAUGCGCAAGCGAUCACCUCUGUGGACAGCGAAGAAACAUCGUCGCACUGUGACAACUUUGUUGGCGUUCGUUUCAUAAAACCCGUUCUAUAAGGAGCUUGUGUCCACCCUGAAAGGCCUGGCGAGCCACGUGCUCGUAUUCAAGCUGGUGCCACGAGGUGGGCCUUUCGGGCAUGCCAGGGAGGAUGAGAGGCUGUCCCUGAACCGCCUACUAGUACGGAAGGUGUUGCCCUCGGCGUUACCAUCAUGAAUGUCGACCGACUGAAAUGUAUUCUAUUACACCUGUUCUUUUAUAAGCACUCAGCGAUGGAUACAGUUGUAGACAGGUCAAAAAAGCAUGUGUUUAGGUCGGUAAGUUCCUUGAAAGUUCGAAAAUCCAAAAAAAUAAGUAAUUAUGUCAGGAAUAUAACAAGAUAGAUUAAAAAAAGAGUAUACCAUUUGUGAAAGUAACAUGUAUAGAAGGCAGUUUUAAACUGACAGAGUUUGAAACUGCCUCUAUGCAUUGGGAAGUUCUGAAACAUUUUUGAUAAGAAACUAUUCAAAUCACUUCUUAAAACCACAGUGAACUUGGCACACGAGGACCGGUCCCCAAGGAGAACAGAAAUUUAACUCAGAAGGCGAGCGCGAGUACUGCACCUUGAUGUCUGUGUUUACAGUUAGAUCCUCCCCUGACUAAACGAAAGUGGACCCCAAUAAUAAGCAACCAGCCCCAUAAAACAUUUGCAAUGAGUUAACAACCCCACUCCCUGCACGUACACACCCACACACAAAAAAAUAUAGCUGCACAAUUAGAUCUAAAAUACUGACCCCUACCUAAACCUAUAAUGUUCAUUGGCUGCUUCCCAGUUAGACAUGUGUGUCCUGUGUGGUUCCAAGGAGUGGUCACAACCCAACUUUGUUUUAUGCUAUGAAUUAAUUCAUUCGCUGAUGUUUCAGUACCUCUUCUCAACCGAGGCAACAUGGUCAACCUCGACAAGCUGGCUACUGACCAGUACCACGUGUGCCGUGUCCGCGGCAUCUAGCGUCUUGCAUUUGCGCUCGGCAAGGCACUCGCAAAACUUUAUGGUAAUUCUAUCCUUGGUGGGUGCUGUGCCCCAUUCUAACCUUUCGAAGGCCACAGGUGUUUAAGAUGUGGAGCCUGUGGCCAGUGGGGAGGUGUAUGUCUCCAAUUUGCCGGACCCUAGCACUAGCUAAGUUACCGCCGAAUUCACAAACCUCAUUUCAAUUGAGGCGCCCCUCCACUUCCUCAAGGAAGGUGUGAGGGCCGGUGCUGGGGAGGGGCCAGUCGCGACGACAAAUAGGCGGCCUAGGCUGCUUAGCCGUCCUCGCGAUUGGCCAGUGCCGUCCCUCGUGCCUUCCUUGAGGAAGUGGGGGGGUGCCUCAAUUGGAAUAAAGGUUUGUGAAUUCGGCAGUUAGUGUCUCUUUUCCCCUAUGUGCAAUCCCAGCCAUUAUGAGCUAGAAUGAAGAGCUUUCCUACAAGAACCUUUCUAAUCCGUUAUUUCAAAGUUUGUUUAUUUCUAAAGAGCAUCUCAGUGCCUGCAUUUUGAUGUCAUAAUACUCUACUCUAAGAUCUCAAAAGGUAGUCCACCCCUAUUUUUGGCUUGAUUUGCUUUACUUUUUGAACACCGAAAGAUAGACUACUUCUAGUAAUAGUAGUGUU